CUUUUACUGUAAGGUACCGAACUUCUAAAAUCAUGAGGUUACGGUAUCCAUUUGGUUGGAGAGCCAUUUGAUGGUUCCGGUAAGGUUGCGGUGUAAUGUAACAUACCGGAUUUUAAAUAUAAAGGUGUAAAUAAAUAAAAAUAGUAUGAGAUACUAUUUUAUUGGAUUUAGAGAAGCAAAAUAUAGAUUGGAAAUGACCUGUGCUGAAAUCGGAGCGAAAACAGAAGAUUUAGAAUUUUCUGUGAGAAGCGGAGCAGAUAAAUUAGCAGAAAAUGCACAGUGUCCGAAAAUUAUGAAAAUUGGCAGAGAUGUCAGAAAUAUUUUUAUGAGGCUAGAUUUAAGGUUUCAUAUUUUUCUGACACCCGUAGAGUGAGAAAUAAAAUCCGAAAGCUAUCUGAUAAAGAUUGCAGUUCGACAUAGUUUUCGCUGACCAAACGAAGUCGAAACUGAAAACUUAAGAUAUAUUCUUACUCAGUACGUUAAACCGAGACUGCCUGUCAAAUUUGAGCGCAAACGGACAUUCAGAAGGGUUCCGACGGAACUUAUCAGAUUUGAGGGACUAAACUGAAAAGUA
rnacentral:lncRNA from 1 species